GAUCUCUCAGAAUCCCCACUGGAGUCCCCAGGCCACCCCCAUUGCCUCGGCCAAAAGAUGAGUCUCAAACUCCAUCACCUCUCUCUCCUCAGGAUGUUCUGGAAUCGAAGAACAGCACCAUCAAGGACCUGCAGUAUGAGCUGGCCCGGGUCUGUAAGUGCUGCGCACAUAUGAGGCAAAGCUCCUGGCCUUCGGGAUCCCUCUGGACAACGUGGGCUUCAAGCCCUUGGAAACAGCUGUGAUCGGACAGAUGCUGGGCCAGGGUCCCGCGGGACUGGUGGGCACCCCGACGUAGCUGCCCCCCUGGGGGGCCACAGCCCAGAGAGCCAGCCUAGGAACACUCUCGGGAUGACACCCCUUUUCACACCAAGGACAGCACGUUUUUUAGAUUUUAUCAUCAGCAAAUGAAAGCUUUUCACAUGUU
rnacentral:sRNA from 1 species